rnacentral:rRNA from 1 species
CAGUCGCCGCGGUAAUACAGAGGGUGCGAGCGUUAAUCGGAUUUACUGGGCGUAAAGCGUGCGUAGGCGGCUUCUUAAGUCGGAUGUGAAAUCCCUGAGCUUAACUUAGGAAUUGCAUUCGAUACUGGGAAGCUAGAGUAUGGGAGAGGAUGGUACAAUUCCAGGUGUAGCGGUGAAAUGCGUAGAGAUCUGGAGGAAUACCGAUGGCGAAGGCAGCCAUCUGGCCUAAUACUGACGCUGAGGUACGAAAGCAUGGGGAGCAAACAGGAUUAGAUACCCCCGUAGUCCCUGUCUCUUAUAC